rnacentral:rRNA from 1 species
UGCGUAGGCGGCGCGGUCAGUCGGAUGUGAAAUCGCUCAGCUCAACUGAGCAACUGCGUCUGAUACUACCGUGCUUGAGGAAGGCAGAGGUGAGCGGAACUCAGGGUGGAGCGGUGAAAUGCGUUGAUAUCCUGGGGAACACCGGUGGCGAAGGCGGCUCACUGGGCCUUUUCUGACGCUGAGGCACGAAAGCUAGGGUAGCGAACGGGAUUAGAUACCCCGGUAGUCCUAGCUGUAAACGAUGAGCACUAGAUCGAGGAGACCUCCACAUCUUCUUGGUCGUAGCGAAAGUGUUAAGUGCUCCGCCUGGGGAGUAUGGUCGCAAGGCUGAA